rnacentral:tRNA from 1 species
GUCUGUGGCUCAGUGGUAGAGCAUCUACUUUGCAUGCAGAAGGUCCCAGAUUGAAUCCUUAGCAUCGCCA